rnacentral:ncRNA from 1 species
ACAAAAAAAUAUCUCCGAGUUUAUUUUCCUAAGAAUCUAUUUAUGGAGGAUAGACCGUUAGGUAUUAUUGGAAACGAUAAUGCCCCCCAUUGCGGAAAGGAGUAAUACAUGAUGGAUGC